CACAGCCGCAGUGGCUCAGAUUGCCCUGACUACAGGCUGCUGUCACAGCGUGGGCAACACCUGCUGCAGUGAUGGCAUAGGUAAAUGCAGCCUCCUUGCUACCUAGGGAGAAAAGAGAAGAACUAUUGUGAUGCUGAGAUGAUUUGACAACUCAAAGUUUAUACCAUCGCAGCUAAUUCUGAAUGGCCAUCUGUGGAGAAACAUGCUUUUUGCUCCACAUUAAGGCAUCUACAAUACCAGCAGGGGCUAGCUGCUGAAGCUAACCAGCCAAACUCUGACAGACCCCCUGCUUUCAAGUGAACCCCAAGACCUUGAUUAGUUGUUUCAGGUGUGCUUGAUUAGAGAUGGAGCUAAACUCAGCUGGAUCCCCAAGAGGAGGCUUGAGCAUGCUUGAUCUUAAGAAUAACGUAAGAAGACUAAACUGACACCUGCUGGUGGGCCUUUAUGAAAAGAUCACUUGGGUCAACAAAGAAACACACACAACCAUGAAACCAAAGCAUAGCUCAAUGGACUGCACCUACUGACCUACUCUCAGCUCUUGCCCAAAGACGGUCCUCUCGCCAAGGGCAGAGCAGUUCCAGCGUCCGUAGCGAAACUGAUACUGGCACUCGUUGAUGCCCAGCUGAGCGCCCUCCCCGAUGAUGAUGAUGGCAUCUGGGCGGCUCUGG